CAUCAGAAUAAAUUAUGGCUAAUUUAACGGAAACCCAACGAAUUGAAAUUUUGAUGAUGCUAGGGUACGGGAAUCGAGUGCGCACGCAAAAAGAAGUCAUGCAAUCCAAGUUUAUUUAAUUAUAGCAUUGGCUCCACUGUAUUAAAAAGACUAAGCGAGGUAAAAUAUUUUGGUAUAAUUUUGGAUAGCGAGUUAUUAUUGGUAUUACAUAUUGAAAAUCCAUACAAAAAGCGUAUAGAAGGAAGUGACUCAACAAAAAAAAAUCCAGAGGUGAAAGAUCAGGCAACCGCGUGGACCAUUCAAUACAGUUUCUUCGUCCAAUCCAGCGACCAGGAUAGUUCUCAUUUAAAUAAUUGCAGACAGCUAGUAAUGAGGAGGGGCACCAUCCUGCUGACCAAUUACCUCAAGUUUAACGUAUUGAUUGUUCUUGUCAUUUUCAAUUUAAUUUUUCGAUUUGUGCAGAAGAUGGUGGAAUUGUUAGCAAUCUCUGUGCAAAUUGUAAAAGUGAGAGAUGAUCUUCUAUUACCGACAUCAACCAAAUUAGUCCAAAAUUCUAAAUUUAUCCAAAUUUGUUAAUCCUUUACUAUAUAGUUUUACGUAAUAUAAAUCUGUGGACUUUUUUUUCUAUUUGAUUUUAAAUUUAUCUUUAUUUUAAAUGUGGAUGUAAGUAAAAAGUGAAUUAAUAAUGCAACAUUUUAAGGACAACUUUUAAAGUUCAGCAACAUCCACCAUAAAAUAAUCCUUUCUUUGGCAAGUAUUUAAUAUGUGAUGUCAGCCUUUUUUUUAUUAA